rnacentral:rRNA from 1 species
GGAUUAGAUACCCUGGUAGUCCACGCCGUAAACGAUGUCUACUAGCCGUUGGGAGACUUGAUUUCUUAGUGGCGCAGCUAACGCACUAAGUAGACCGCCUGGGGAGUACGGCCGCAAGGUUAAAACUCAAAUGAAUUGACGGGGGCCCGCACAAGCGGUGGAGCAUGUGGUUUAAUUCGAUGCAACGCGAAGAACCUUACCAGGCCUUGACAUUUAGCGAACUUUCCAGAGAUGGAUUGGUGCCUUCGGGAACGCUAGGACAGGUGCUGCAUGGCUGUCGUCAGCUCGUGUUG